CAGCACCUCAAGUGGUCAGGACGAUUAUUGGGCCUAAAGCAUCCGUAGCCGGCGCUGUAAGUUUUCGGUUAAAUCUGUACGCUCAACGUACAGGCUGCCGGGAAUACUGCAGCGCUAGGGAGUGGGAGAGGUAGACGGUACUCGGUAGGAAGGGGUAAAAUCCUUUGAUCUAUUGAUGACCACCUGUGGCGAAGGCGGUCUACCAGAACACGUCCGACGGUGAGGGAUGAAAGCUGGGGGAGAAGACCGGGUGAGAUACCCGAGUAGUCC
rnacentral:rRNA from 1 species